UUGACGUUUUUCUUUGCCGAUCGGCAUCUCGAGAUGGACGAAAUAGCCACGCUGGGGUUUGGUAUCAGCCUGGUGCGGUGCUGUUCCGCGAUCGCAAGAUGUGUCUGGUGCUGGUAGAUGUAGCCGUGGCCCCCGCAUCCCGUCUUCUAUCUGGAAUCGCUCGGUGAUCGUCCUGCGGCCAAGGCGGAGCAGCUGGAAGAGGAAGAUGGUGAACCACCAUUCCGGAAGGCCGGUCAGUUCCGCGGUUGGCGGUGAAAAAGAUUCAGCUGUGCCCACAAACGGGCACGCUGGUCAUCGCCGGAACGGCAGGGAAUGUUGUGAUGGCCAACUUUGAGACUCCGCCGAACUCUUCCACUGCCUCUUCACCGGAAGGAGCUCACUUUUGGAGGAAAACGAAUCGAUUCUCGAGGGUGUGCAGUUUACGGGUGUGCAGCAAGUGCUGCCACCGGCCGCACUAACUUGCAUCGCUAUGCAGAGCAAGUGGUCACUAGUGGCCGCCGGCCGGCAGUGGAGCGCCAGAUUGAGGCGCGUCCCGUCGAUGAUGGCAUGGGCUCGAUGGUUCACUGUUGUGUUUCAGUUUUGUGAUCAAUUUGCCACCGAAACCGGUAGCAGCGGCUGCCCGUGUACCGGAUAAUCAUGCAGCCUAGGAACAAUCCCCGCCUGCACCGGCCGAGACCACCAUUCCUAAGGGUCUACCAGUGCUGGCGGAGGAAUUUCAAAUGAAACAUCGGGCACCCAUCAUCGGUAUUGCGAUCGUUGAUAGUAACGGUGUACCGUUGGAGUUCCAGAACAUCCCGGGCCAGGCGCCUCAUCGCGUCCUCAUUGCAUCAGAGGAGCCUUUUCGCGAGGAAAUUAUUCGGAUAGAAUUGAUGAAAUAUGCGUUUUUUUUUUGUAUGGAAAAUAGAUGAAAAUGGUUGCCUUAUA